rnacentral:rRNA from 1 species
ACGAACGCUGGCGGCGUGCUUAACACAUGCAAGUCGAACGGAAAGGCCCUGCUUGCAGGGUACUCGAGUGGCGAACGGGUGAGUAACACGUGGGUGAUCUGCCCUGCACUUCGGGAUAAGCCUGGGAAACUGGGUCUAAUACCGGAUAGGAGCCAUUUUUAGUGUGAUGGUUGGAAAGUUUUUUCGGUGUAGGAUGAGCUCGCGGCCUAUCAGCUUGUUGGUGUGGUAAUGGCCUACCAAGGCGGCGACGGGUAGCCGGCCUGAGAGGGUGGACGGCCACAUUGGGACUGCGACACGGCCCAGACUCCUACGGGAGGCAGAAGUGGGGAAUAUUGAACAAUGGGCGCCAGCCUGAUGCAGCGACGCCGCGUGGGGGAUGACGGCCUUCGGGUUGUAAACUCCUUUCGCUAGGGACGAAGCUUUUUGUGACGGUACCUAGAUAAGAAGCACCGGCUAACUACGUG